GUGGUCUAGUGGUUAGAGUGUAGGGUCGGCAGGUAGCCUAGUGGUUAGAGUGUAGGGUCGGCAGGUGGUCUAGUGGUUAGAGUGUAGGGUCGGCAGGUAGCCUAGUGGUUAGAGUGUAGGGUCGGCAGGUGGUCUAGUGGUUAGAGUGUAGUGUCGACAGGUAGCCUAGUGGUUAGAGUGUAGAGUCGGCAUGUAGCCUAGUGGUUAGAGCAUAGGGUCGGCAGGUGGUCUAGUGGUUAGAGCGUAGUGUCGACAAGUAGCCUAGUGGUUAGAGCGUAGUGUCGACAGGUAGCCUAGUGGUUAGAGUGUAGUGUCGGCAGGUAGCCUAGUGGUUAGAGUGUAGGGUCGGCAGGUGGUCUAGUGGUUAGAGCGUAGUGUCGACAGGUAGCCUAGUGGUUAGAGUGUAGGGUCGGCAGGUAGCCUAGUGGUUAGAGCGUAGUGUCGACAGGUAGCCUAGUGGUUAGAGUAUAGUGUCG
ensembl:lncRNA